GCUCGUAUGGUGUAACGGUAACACUUCACAUUGUGGCUGUGAUGCUCUAGGUUCGAUUCCUAGUACGGGCA
rfam:Pneumocystis jirovecii RT7 supercont1.14, whole genome shotgun sequence.